AGUGAACGCUGGCGGUAGGCCUAACACAUGCAAGUCGAACGGCAGCACAGGAGAGCUUGCUCUCUGGGUGGCGAGUGGCGGACGGGUGAGGAAUACAUCGGAAUCUACUCUGUCGUGGGGGAUAACGUAGGGAAACUUACGCUAAUACCGCAUACGACCUACGGGUGAAAGCAGGGGACCUUCGGGCCUUGCGCGAUUGAAUGAGCCGAUGUCGGAUUAGCUAGUUGGCGGGGUAAAGGCCCACCAAGGCGAGGAUCCGUAGCUGGUCUGAGAGGAUGAUCAGCCACACUGGAACUGAGACACGGUCCAGACUCCUACGGGAGGCAGCAGUGGGGAAUAUUGGACAAUGGGCGCAAGCCUGAUCCAGCCAUACCGCGUAGGUGAAGAAGGCCUUCGGGUUGUAAAGCCCUUUUGUUGGGAAAGAAAUCCAGCUGGCUAAUACCCGGUUGGGAUGACGGUACCCAAAGAAUAAGCACCGGCUAACUUCGUGCCAGCCGCCACCGUAA
rnacentral:rRNA from 1 species